AUGGGUUUGAUGCAACCUCGGUCUCAACCCAACCAACUUCAAGAAUGGCAGCAGCAUAUUAUGUCGCAGUUCCAAGCUCAGCCUAACCAACUAAAAAAGCAAUUAGGGAUGCAGCAACAAUUUUCCAUGCAGCAAAGAGUUCAAACUUCAGGAGGCAUGCUCUUGCAGCAAAAUAACAUGGAUCAGAAAAAUAUAUUUAUUCUGGCACAGAAGGGCCUUCAAGAGGCUUCCUCUAGUACAUCUGCGGACUUUACUGCUCAAUCAGGCCAUGCAGGUGCAGGUGAUUGGCAAGAGGAUAUAUAUCAAAUGAUUCAGAGCUUGAAGGGCCAAUACUUUGCAGAACUUAUUGAAUUGUUCAAUAAGAUAUCUGUGAAGCUACAUCAUGUUGACAGCAUUAUACCACCUCAAAAGCCAUCUGAACAGUAUGAUAGAAUGAAGAGCUUUAAAAUAAUGUUGGACCGUAUAUUACAAAUGCUGCAAAUGAGCAAGAGUACUAUCCAACCUGCUAUGAGGGACAAAAUUCCUCAAUACGAGAAACAGAUUAUCACUAUCUUGAAUUCACAAAGGAAUCCAGUGCAGCCACAAAUACAACAACAGCUCCAGCCACCUCCAGGUAAAUAA
rnacentral:rRNA from 1 species